rnacentral:rRNA from 1 species
ACGGGAGGCAGCAGUGGGGAAUAUUGGGCAAUGGGCGCAAGCCUGACCCAGCAACGCCGCGUGAAGGAAGAAGGCUUUCGGGUUGUAAACUUCUUUUAUCAGGGACGAAGAAAGUGACGGUACCUGAUGAAUAAGCCACGGCUAACUACGUGCCAGCAGCCGCGGUAACACGUAAGUUGCGAGCGUUGUUCGGAAUUAUUGGGCGUAAAGGGCAUGUAGGCGGUUAUGCAAGUCUGGUGUGAAAGGCAGGAGCUCAACUCCUGGACUGCGCCGGAAACUGCAGAACUAGAGUGACUGAGGAGCAAUCAGAAUUCCAGGUGUAGGGGUGAAAUCUGUAGAUAUCUGGAAGAAUACCAAUGGCGAAGGCAGGUUGCUAGCAGAUGACUGACGCUGAGGUGCGAAGGUGCGGGGAGCAAACAGGAUUAGAUACCCUGGUA